UACGUAGGGGGCUAGCGUUAUCCGGAAUUACUGGGCGUAAAGGGUGCGUAGGUGGUUUCUUAAGUCAGAGGUGAAAGGCUACGGCUCAACCGUAGUAAGCCUUUGAAACUGGGGAACUUGAGUGCAGGAGAGGAGAGUGGAAUUCCUAGUGUAGCAGUGAAAUGCGUAGAUAUUAGGAGGAACACCAGUUGCGAAGGCGGCUCUCUGGACUGUAACUGACACUGAGGCACGAAAGCGUGGGGAGCAAACAGG
rnacentral:rRNA from 1 species